GCAAGUUUAGCUCAGUUGGUAGAGCAUGAGGCUGUGACCCUCAGGGGUUCGAGCCCCAUGUUCAGCG